rnacentral:tRNA from 1 species
GGCUCCGUAGCUCAGAGGACAGAGCGGCGGCCUUCUAAGCCGAUGGUCGAGGGUUCGAUUCCUUCCGGGGCCGCCA